UAAAACCGCGACUUACCUAAAUUGUUUACAGCGGAUCUCGUCGGAUCCGACCCAACCCGUCGCCACGCGUACCAGAGAAUCGAGACCCAAUGGCAGAAUCUUCGAUUAUCGCCGGCGGUAAAUUCGAUCGGAUCUGAAACCCUCUCUCAAGAUUGAGGCUAUAAAGUAGAGUGGUCUCUCUUUCAAGCUCUCAUUCAAUGGUCAAAGCCUUCGUGAAAAAGACGUAUCUCUGAUCCUCACCGACCAGUUACUUCGAUCUUCAUGCCUGAAGAGCAAUGACCAGGAAUGCUGCACAAGAAAUAGUUUGCCCCUUUCUUCAAAGUGAACUUGUCAUUGCCACUGGUUGAUGCUUUUCCAGUUGCCUUGCAACUUCCAUACUCUGAAGCAGUAACAGCUGAUCCAUUCUGAAGAAUUUGUGAUGAUCUCCUUUAUACUGAAUCUGGAGAAUCUUCGAGAAUUUCAUGGAAACCCAUUUGUGGGUUACUUGGACAUCAUUCGAACUUCUAAUCAACAACUCUGCCUCUCAACACUACAGGGGAAACCUCAGUAUCUCCCUCAGUCAGCUGGCACAGCUCAGUGUUCCUCAGAAACCCCUUAUAUUAUGUACAUUGCUGAGAGGGUAAUUUCCUCCUCAUCCAUCUGAUUCCAUGUCUCGGAAUGGCAGUGGUACUGUCUUCACUGCCCUGAACUUGCCGACAUUAUUCAGGUGCUCAUUCUCCAACCUUUCAACCAGAUAUUGAGUCAAUAUCAAGUAAGCAUUUUACUCUCUCAAUCGCAGUAGCGUAAAGUAAGAGAAAUUACCUGUAAAAGUUCCAGUGCCCCCGUCGAAUUAUCUCCAAUGAGGCAAGCAGGAAGUCUACCAACUGACCCUCAAGGGGACCUAGGCUUAGGCGGGAAAUGGUUUCUAUCCAUCCAAGGCGAAGAACAAAAUUGAGAACCUGCAUUUCAUCAGAAAAUGUCUCAUUUGAGAUAAAAACAUGUUCCAGGAAGUGUUGGAAUAAUUGGCCUUGUGUGUAACUUACAAUAGAUGCAUAGUAAAUGUUUUUAUUCUUUAGAAUGAGCUCAUCUCUAAGCCAUUGAUUUUUGGAGUUCAGGUUGAAGAGCCCCCAGUCCUUGACAAAAUCCCAGUACAAUUGGUACAAGGUUGCCAUAGUGGAUAUAAAGAUGACAGUUGCUAACCAAAAUGGUGAAGGAUCCACAGCGUACUUCCAUCUGGCUGCAGCUGCCAGCAUGGCAGACACAUACUUCCCACCAUUCGCCAGGAUUUGGGAUUACCAGCAAGAGAAUGCCUGGAAGGGCAUCAACAUGACCUGCAGAAAACCCUGCAGAUUUAAGAACGAGUUGAACAACCAUGGCUCCGACAACAGUAGUCAUGAAAGCGGUACAUAUGAGAAAAGCAUCCCUGUGCUUUAAAGCUGUGCUUGGCGAGAACUCAAAUAUGAAGUUGUGGUUGAUUCUGGUAUUCUUCCACAUGAACAGGUUGCAUCCAUAUAAGAAUAUGUGAAGGCUUAGAAGAGCAAACAUGCUGCACGAAAUUAGAAAACACCAAGGAUCAAGACUUUACUACUCUUAAGAUUUGUAGCUUCAUGAGCAAAUGGGAACCUCUUGACUCUUUUUGGCUGCUGUCAAGUCUCAAACAGCAAGAAACAGCUGGGUCCCUUCAGAUAAGUGCGACGUGGCACGUUACGGGAUGGUUAUUCUCUUGCUAAUUACUUGUAUUGUACUCAACUCCAAACUCGGGAUUGUAAUUUAUCAUUGUAUUAAUUGUUUUUAGUCCAAUGCUAGUAUUGCGUAGGUGUUGUUGAAAGGACUGUUUUGGUUUCUUUGUUUGCCUACCAGCUGUUUCAACUUUGAUUUACCUAAAUACCCUUCUAUUAUAUGAAAUUAUCCUUAUUUUU